UGCCUGCUCACAACUGUAACUCCAGUUC
rnacentral:piRNA from 1 species